CUUCAGCGAGCCCAGCCACACCGGGUCACCCUCCGGACGCCCCUGGCCGUACGUCGCCAGCACCGCCUGCGCCUC
rnacentral:antisense_RNA from 1 species